UUUCCCAACUCAAAUGCAAUGUAUCGCAUUAUUUUUCAAAUAUCACAUCAUAUAUCUUAUGCUCUCACACCACAUCCUUUCACUUUCUCUUUCACUUUUUCUACCUCUUUCUCUUCUUCAUUCUUCUUCUUUUACAAACCAUUAAUGUUGUUUCUGUUUUCUUCUUCAAUUUUUUAGGGUUUUUACUUCAAGAUGGAUUUAUCUAACUCAAAGUAUGUUUCUGCGUGAUUUUCGACGGAAAUUUCCUUGUCACGGUGUCACAUAAGGUGGUGGUUGUAAAAGAUGUUGAUUCAGGGAAACUGGAGGCGGAAGAUGGUAAACCUGAUUAUAUUGCAAGGAUUGCGAAUUCUUUGAAACCCAAAAGAAAGAUCUAUUUUUUAUGGGUCAAUGUUUUAUAGAGCCAGAGUUACGGAAAUUUGAUGGAUAGUUGUGGACUAAGUUCUUAUGAUAAGUCACAAGAAAACAAGAUGUUCUGGAAAAUACUAAUUCGCCCUUUCAAUUUUCCGACCAAUCAAAUCUUCUCUUCUUGAUAUCAUGUUUGCAUUAAAUGGGUUGAUUCAACCUUUGGUAUUCUUUGCACGCUUCAUGUGAUGUAAGUUCCCAAACUCAACCUUUCAUAUUCUGCACAGAUUCAACUGAUUCAAUGGUUAAUGUAAUUAUGAUGUAAGUCUCUAUGUCAUCCCUCCAUCCUAUAAAUAAUGUUAAAUCAAAAUUAUUCCAACUCAACAUCUUCAAUAAAAUUUCUGUCAAAAAAUUCCUGAUUUCUUUUCAUGAGCAAUACUUGAUUCGUGUUUUGGUUUCUGUUUAUAUUUGGUUUUGAGUCUCCUUAAUGUUUCUAAUGUUAAAUUCUAUUUGCAGUAAACUUAUUAUUCUUUAAGUGAUAAAGAGAGUGAAAGAAGGGGAAAGUUUGGCUGCAAUGGUGGCAUACCUUUAUUUUGUAUUUUCUUUUCGACCAUUCUGAUUCUCAACGUCUUCAUAUCGAUUCUCCUGUCUACUUCAUCGAUUAUUUUCUCGCAUAAUAGCUUUGUGGCAGAUUUGGGUGGAUCUCCUAUCUACUUCAUCGAUUAUUUUCUCGCAUAAUAGCUUUGUGACAGAUUUGGGUGGAGUAUUUACCAGAAAUGAAUUUUGCCUCUAUUGGUGCGAGUCAGAAUGGUGUAUCUACAUGACGGCAACACCUGGAAAAUCCUUAAAUAAUUCAGUAGUUCAUUAAAUUUUUAUUUUUCCUAUUUUCUACUAAUAUACUUCACAAAUACGAGAUCAAAGAUAAACAAGUUAACACACAUGGUUCUGGUUUGGAGAUAAUAUUUGACGAUUUUGCUUAUUUUAUCUAUAAUAGACCAUUUAACGAUUUUUCUA